AUGGACGUUCCACUUCAUUUCCUUCUCCAGCUUCUACUGAAGAAUAUGCAAAGGAGCUACACUUCUUCAGCAUGGCUGCAGUAAAUCCAGCUGCCCAGACCUUAGGGCUUAUAUCUGGAUCACCACCGGAAUCUACGACACAACCCUUGAUCUUUUCCAACAAAUCCUGUCUAUUUUUCAGAUUCUCAAGAAUAGCACCAUAACUACGCAA
rnacentral:misc_RNA from 1 species